rnacentral:rRNA from 1 species
AGCGAACGCUGGCGGCAGGCCUAACACAUGCAAGUCGAACGAAGUCUUCGGACUUAGUGGCGGACGGGUGAGUAACACGUGGGAACGUGCCUUUAGGUUCGGAAUAACUCAGGGAAACUUGUGCUAAUACCGAAUGUGCCCUUCGGGGGAAAGAUUUAUCGCCUUUAGAGCGGCCCGCGUCGGAUUAGCUAGUUGGUGAGGUAAAGGCUCACCAAGGCUACGAUCAGUAGCUGGUCUGAGAGGAUGACCAGCCACAUUGGGACUGAGACACGGCCCAAACUCCUACGGGAGGCAGCAGUGGGGAAUCUUGCGCAGUGGGCGAAAGCCUGACGCAGCCAUGCCGCGUGGAUGAUGAAGGUCUUAGGAUUGUAAAAUCCUUUCACCGGCGAAGAUAAUGACUGUAGCCGGAGAAGAAGCCCCGGCUAACUUCGUGCCAGCAGCCGCAGUAA